rnacentral:lncRNA from 10 species
CCACCAUGACUGGAAAAUUUGUUUUUUUUCUUUGGUAGGGACAGCAUGUUGCCCAGGCUGGUCUUGAACUCCUGAACUCUCACAAUCCUUCUGACUCAGUGUCCAAAAGUGCUGGAAUUAAGGCUCCAGGAGAUGAGAAGACAAGCAGACAAGGAGACAAGCAGAUGAACGGCAGAACAACCCUGCAGAGAAAGAGAGAAGAGGAGGAGCGUCUGAACGAGCAGAGUUUGGCUGAGGGUGGUGGGAGAGGAGUUUGGCCACUGGACAGCCAACUCCAGGGAAAGAUCAUCUUUCCACUCCAUCCCCCUACCAGCUCCCCAUCCAUCCCACAGAGAGCCACCUCCAUCACUCAAUAAAAUCCCCACAU